GUUAAACGUCUGGUAAGGAAGAUCUUGGUGUGGGCUGUGAGUACUUACCCCUGCAGAAUAUAAUUUAAAAGACCCUCAACCUGCUUGCAUAAUAUCUGAGUAAUGAAGAAGAGAUCACCGAGGGUUUCUCUCUCUAAGACAAGCGAAAUUCCAAACGUAGGGAUUAUGCCCCAGGAUUUUGGAGAGAAGAGGCAAGGAGAUGGUUUUAUGAAAUCCUCCAGCAGUAUUUCACAUCCAUCAUUCCUAAAUGAUGGUGGAGAAUCUGUUGGUGGUCUGGGAUACCAUGGCCAUGCUGAUUCCUAUGAUUUAGCCCUGAAGGAAAGCCAGUGGUGUGCUGCAGAUCCCCUCCCACUCCCCAGGCUGUGCCAUGGUGCCCCAGCCUUUCCUAGCCCUGGGAUGUGCUGGGCAAAAUGCAUCCUUUGCUGCAUGGCAGGUUGCGUGGCCUCUGGCUGUGCUUCUGAGCGAUGGUUCACAAGGAGGGGUGAAGACUGGGGGGAAACAAGGCACAUGUAGAGCUAUUAUGCACCUAUAUCCAGUAACUGGUCUGAAUUUUUCACACUGGUGUGUUGUUAGGAACUGGGGUGACUAAAAUGAAUAAUAUCUUUAGCGGUCAUUAAAGUACAGCAGAAAUCUCCUAAGGGACAGAUGAAGAUCAUCUGGCCUCUGCUGCCUAAUAACCCUUUUCCUGGAGAGUGUCAAACUGAAUUUGUAGUUGUGUCUCUUUGUUUAGACAUUAGCUUUCAAUUUAUUACUUAAGGGACUCAGCCCCAAAUUGGAGAUAGGUCACUAUUUGCCCUUUUUUAAUGGUAAACUGUGCUGUGCACACAAACAUGUCAGAAACAGCUGAGGGUAAGUUGCUUUCUAGUCCUCCAGCAGCCCAUCAUUUUAUGUUGGUGUCAUUUGAUUAACAUGAGGCAUCACUGAUCACAGCAAUUAUACAAAAAUGCCACUAUUUCUUAAAAACUCAGCAGGUUGUUACUGCUGUGCUAUGGAUGUGUAUGUAGGAUGGAGAAAUCCCAGCUCUGGAGCCAUGUCUCCCAGUGCUUGGAGCAGAAGGGAUCUGGCCUCCUAGACAGACAGGCUUCCUUCACAAAAGUCUGGACAGGGUUCCUUAGGGAAUCAAGUCAAAAUCCAGCUCAGGGUUAGGCACAGGUGAAAAAAACGUGCUCUGGAGAGACAGCAAUGUUAUUUGCGAGUCCUAGUAGGCUUUCUAAGUACUUGGGAUAUCAACAGACAAUAUUAUAAACCUAUCCAGUAGUUUCUUCCCUUUACAGGAUCUGCAUUUCAUUAAUUUUUGUUAAAUGUAUAAUAUUCUAAACAUCUAAUUGAUGAUAUUCUUCGUUUAUGAUUUAUGUAGAUUAGCAUCCUCCAGUUAGUUCUUUGCAUUUUUCUCCAUCACUUGGUGAAAUGGAGCUGCACAUACGUGUUAGGAGAAAGCCAUGUAGGAAUAAAAGCAUCCAAGCAUCUAAAUGUGCUGCUGUUAGAGCAUGCAGAAUGGGGAUGAAGGACCUAAAUAAACCUCCUCACAUCCUGUAGGUAACAGACAGCAUAUAUUAUCGUACACAUUCAGCAUUCUCCUGCAGAAUUACGGGUUUUCUGGCUGAUACGUGAUUUCCUGUGUUGUAUGAGAGCCUAAAAUAGAUGAUCGAGACAAAGCCAUGCUGGCAGAGUUUCAUUCAGCGCUAGGGUAUUCAUUCUGAUGCGUAACCAUCCCCUAAAAGAGACCUGCACUUAUGUAAGUCACAGCCACCAUUUUGUUCCACUGUUGUUGUAAAUGCAAUUUUAUUCCUUGAGCAUGUGUAAGAGCGAUACCAUUCCACAGUCUGAAAGAUUUUAGGGUUGGGGUUUUCUUCAACCUUCUUGUAUUUACUUGUUUGUUUCUUCAUAACAUUGUGUUUCUGCUUGGAAAUAUGUUUGGCUACACAGGAAGAGUAUCCAUUGCAAUUUAUUCUUCCUGACCU